CCACGGGGGGCAGCAGUGGGGAAUAUUGGGCAAUGGGCGAAAGCCUGAUCCAGCCAUGCCGCGUGUGUGAAGAAGGCCUUCGGGUUGUAAAGCACUUUCAGUGGGGAAGAAAGCCUUGGGGCUAAUACCCUCGAGGAAGGACAUCACCCACAGAAGAAGCACCGGCUAACUCCGUGCCAGCAGCCGCGGUAAUACGGAGGGUGCGAGCGUUAAUCGGAAUUACUGGGCGUAAAGCGCGCGUAGGCGGUCUGAUAAGCCGGUUGUGAAAGCCCCGGGCUCAACCUGGGAACGGCAUCCGGAACUGUCAGGCUAGAGUGCAGGAGAGGAAGGUAGAAUUCCCGGUGUAGCGGUGAAAUGCGUAGAGAUCGGGAGGAAUACCAGUGGCGAAGGCGGCCUUCUGGACUGACACUGACGCUGAGGUGCGAAAGCGUGGGUAGCAAACAGGAUUAGAUACCCGUGUAGUC
rnacentral:rRNA from 1 species